rnacentral:rRNA from 1 species
GAUGAACGCUGGCGGCGUGCCUAACACAUGCAAGUCGAACGAAGCAAUUAAAGGAAGUUUUCGGAUGGAAUUUGAUUGACUGAGUGGCGGACGGGUGAGUAACGCGUGGAUAACCUGCCUCACACUGGGGGAUAACAGUUAGAAAUGACUGCUAAUACCGCAUAAGCGCACAGUGCCGCAUGGUACGGUGUGAAAAACUCCGGUGGUGUGAGAUGGAUCCGCGUCUGAUUAGCCAGUUGGCGGGGUAACGGCCCACCAAAGCGACGAUCAGUAGCCGACCUGAGAGGGUGACCGGCCACAUUGGGACUGAGACACGGCCCAAACUCCUACGGGAGGCAGCAGUGGGGAAUAUUGCACAAUGGGCGAAAGCCUGAUGCAGCGACGCCGCGUGAGUGAAGAAGUAUUUCGGUAUGUAAAGCUCUAUCAGCAGGGAAGAAAAUGACGGUACCUGACUAAGAAGCCCCGGCUAACUACGUGCCAGCAGCCGCGGUAAUACGUAGGGGGCAAGCGUUAUCCGGAUUUACUGGGUGUAAAGGGAGCGUAGACGGCGAAGCAAGUCUGAAGUGAAAACCCAGGGCUCAACCCUGGGACUGCUUUGGAAACUGUUUUGCUAGAGUGUCGGAGAGGUAAGUGGAAUUCCUAGUGUAGCGGUGAAAUGCGUAGAUAUUAGGAGGAACACCAGUGGCGAAGGCGGCUUACUGGACGAUAACUGACGUUGAGGCUCGAAAG